rnacentral:rRNA from 1 species
AAAGUAUUGCGCCGGAAAUGUUAAUUCGCGGUUUCUGUGGGAUAUUGAAGCUAUCAAUCAGGAUCCCUUUAUUACCUAUAGAAGUAGUUCUCGGACUUGCGAUGUGAGAUGUGGGGUUCUGGGGGCCGACAUGUCUGUAGAUGGAUUCUAUCCAACUCUGUGUUUACGAGUACCUAUUAUCGUUUCUUGGUAGGCUCAGCUUACCAGGUGAACGUUUUUAUUCAACCUUAUUAGUCGGCAAUUUACUUUCUGAGGAGACUAAUUAUCACAACUUUCAACAAUGGAUCUCUUGGUUCUGGCAUCGAUGAAGAACGCAGCGAAAUGCGAUAAGUAGUGUGAAUUGCAGAAUUCAGUGAAUCAUCGAAUCUUUGAACGCAUAUUGCGUCCUUUGGAUUACUCCACUGGGCAUACUUGUUCGAGCGUCUAUGAGUAGUCUUGCAGUAAGCUUGGUGUUGAGUGCUUGUUUCUAGUAAAUAGGAACUCGCUCUAAAAAUAUUGGCGGCCUUGAUAUAGCUCUAUGCGCAGUACAUACGCGCUAUAGAUUAUUAUUUGUGUCCAAUAAGCUUCAAA